rnacentral:misc_RNA from 1 species
AACGCACCUUGCGCUCUUUGGUAUUCCGAAGAGCAUGCCUGUUUGAGUGUCAUGAAAAUAUCAACCUUGACUUGGGUUUAGUGCUCUUGUCUUGGCUUGGAUUUGGCUGUUUGCCGCUCGAAAGAGUCGGCUCAGCUUAAAAGUAUUAGCUGGAUCUGUCUUUGAGACUUGGUUUGACUUGGCGUAAUAAGUUAUUUCGCUGAGGACAAUCUUCGGAUUGGCCGAGUUUCUGGGACGUUUGUCCGCUUUCUAAUACAAGUUCUAGCUCGCUAGACAUGACUUUUUUAUUAUCUGGCCUCAAAUCAGGUAGGACUACCCGCUGAACUUAA